AUUGAACGCCGGCGGCAGGCUUAACACAUGCAAGUCGAGCGGGGUGAUGGUGCUUGCACUAUCACUUAGCGGCGGACGGGUGAGUAAUGCUUAGGAAUCUGCCUAUUAGUGGGGGACAACAUCUCGAAAGGGAUGCUAAUACCGCAUACGUCCUACGGGAGAAAGCAGGGGAUCACUUGUGACCUUGCGCUAAUAGAUGAGCCUAAGUCGGAUUAGCUAGUUGGUGGGGUAAAGGCCUACCAAGGCGACGAUCUGUAGCGGGUCUGAGAGGAUGAUCCGCCAAACUGGGACUGAAACACGGCCCAGACUCCUACGGGAGGCAGCAGUGGGGAAUAUUGGACAAUGGGGGGAACCCUGAUCUAGCCAUGCCGCGUGUGUGAAGAAGGCCUUAUGGUUGUAAAGCACUUUAAGCGAGGAGGAGGCUCUUUUGGUUAAUACCCAGAAUGAGUGGACGUUACUCGCAGAAUAAGCACCGGCUAACUCUGUGCCAGCAGCCGCGGUAA
rnacentral:rRNA from 1 species